ensembl:lncRNA
CGUUACAUUCUGUUCUGCCUUUAACUGAGAAUCUUGAAUUAGCCAGGCAUCUAUGAAGACAGUGAUGUUGUGAAGACAGAGGUAUGCAGCAACUGCAGCAAGACACUUUGGGGCAGUGUACAGUCCAAAGAGAAGGGCUUUGAACUCGAAUAAUGUGUCAUUGAGUGCAAACCUUAGGAGUCUAUGGUGGUCAGGUCAUAUACUGAUGCGCAAUUAUGCAUCCUUUAGGUUGAUGACCAUGAACCAGUCCCACUUCCUUAGAAAAGGAAUGAUGAUUUCUAAAAUUACAACAUAAAAGUAUUUGGGCUUUAUAUAGUAAUUGAGGUCCCUGAGGUCUAGAAUGGAGCAAAGGCCCCCAUCAAACUUGGGACUGUGAAAUCAUGGGAAUAGAAGUCGUUGUGUCCUUGAGAAGUAGGGGUGUGAUUUCCUCUUCUAAUACAGAAGAUGUGUUAUGAGCCUUUAAAAGCCCAUGAGUGAGAGGGUAGGGAAUUUGAUUGCAUCGUCUAAAUGAAUUACAGAAAGGACCCAGGAACUGUUAUUUGUUACUAGAUUUCAAGGUAUAGAGAUAAUGGUUAAAUUGCCGCACUGUGGCCAAAACUGUGCUCACAACCCGGGGUUCAAUCCCAGGUAGCUGACUCAAGGUUGACUCAGCCUUCUAUCCUUCUGAGGUCAGUAAAAUGAGUACCCAGCUCGCUGGGGGAGGGCAAUGUGUAGCCUCCAUAAUUAACUUGUAAACCACCCAGAGAGUGCUUGAAGCACUAUGGGGCGGUAUAUAAGCAGCAUACUUUGCUUUUUAAUAUGGUAUGUGGGGCUGACAGGAGGUGAAAGGGACAAAUUUGCCAAUGAGAAGAAUCAAAGAUGUUGUUUUGUUUUCUUUCAGGUCACCUGGAGGAAGGUUGGCAGAACUGUUCGUUGUGGGUUUGUUGGCAGUAGAACUGAGAAGAGGAAGAAGGAGCUGGGUUCCUUUGUCUUCCAACUUCCUGGAAAAAGUCCCUUAUGAUUCCAGCAGCACUUUGGAAGGAAACCCCAAAUAUACCCAUGUGCAUGAACGUGUACACACACAUUUCUGUGUUGCCUGUUGAUUUGUUUAACACUUUAUCUUGGAGAUAUCAGUUCAAAGGUAACUUUGUCUUCUGAUGUUUUAUAAAACAAGUAUCUGCUAUCAUUACAAUUAGUCUUUUCCUGUAUUGUUUAACCUUGUUAUCUAUCUGCUUUACCACAGCUGUUCAAAAGUUGUGCUGGUGUGUGCAGAAGACCCUAGAGUCCUCUGGAAUUCUCUUUGCUCCCCUUGGAAAGAAACAAAAAGAAUCCAGCCACAGACAGGUGCACAGGAGAAGGAAGGCAGGGCAGAGACUUCCUUUUAGCAGCUGUUGUUUGUACUAUUAGCAUGCUCCAUUUCAGUCCCUGUUGAAGCUUCAUUAAUUCCCUGCAUAAAGACAGAGCACGCACAAGGUAGCAUUUGUCAUAGGACUUUCAGCAACUUUGGCAGUGUUGUAGCACAUGUAUCUUGACAAUCAGGCUGUAAAACAAAAUAAAUGCACCCAUUGUUUUGCA